rnacentral:rRNA from 1 species
GAAUUUUCCGCAAUGGGCGAAAGCCUGACGGAGCAAUACCGCGUGAGGGAUGACGGCCUAUGGGUUGUAAACCUCUUUUCUCAGGGAGGAAUCAAUGACGUGUACCUGAGGAAUAAGCAUCGGCUAACUCCGUGCCAGCAGCCGCGGUAAGACGGAGGAUGCAAGUGUUAUCCGGAAUCACUGGGCGUAAAGCGUCUGUAGGUGGUCAAAUAAGUCAACUGUUAAAUCUUGAGGCUCAACUUCAAAAUCGCAGUCGAAACUAUUAGACUAGAGUAUAGUAGGGGUAAAGGGAAUUUCCAGUGGAGCGGUGAAAUGCGUAGAGAUUGGAAAGAACACCGAUGGCGAAGGCACUUUACUGGGCUAUUACUAACACUGAGAGACGAAAGCUAGGGUAGCAAAUGGGAUUAGAUACCCCAGUAGUC